AUUGUAUUACUCUUUGCAGAGACUACUGCAGACUUGAGGACCUCGAGCCUACCCUGAGCCUCGUCUUGUGCAGAGGUUAAAGAGACAAAUCUUGAGGAUUGAGCUUUUCAAAAGCACUGGGGUUACAGUAUGUCAAUAUGACCGUAUGUUUUCAUGAGGGCUUAAGUCCGCUGAGCACUUCUGGGUGAUUUAGUCUGGCUUUCUCUCUGUUGCAGAACCCGAAGGGGUCUUUCCUCCAGAGGUGGCGGUCCUAAAUAGCCAAGCAGUGAGAGUGCUCUGGACAUCUCCUCUUGUUCCAAAUGGUGCAGUCACACAGUACAGUGUCUAUCUACAGUAGAUGGCCAUCUCUAUGAGUCUGCUAGCAAUGGAACCGGAUCACUGGAAGUGGGAGGACUCUUGCCAUGCACUGUACACAGUAUACUGUUAAACUAGAAUGGACGUCACCUGCUAAGCCCAAUGGCAUUCUGGGAGGAUAUGACGUGUGGCAGACUCUGCAGCAGUGCGAGAAGCUGCAGACCCAGCAGGCGUAUGCUCCUCAGGCUCACUGCUCGUACCUGGAGUGCCCUGCAGAACAAGACUGCUAUAAGCCUGAGACACAGGUAUGCUGUGCAGGGACUGUUCACAGUCUAAAUCAUUCUCAUCAGUGUUGUGAAGAGAGUUAUGUUCCAGCUCUGGGAGUGUGUGUUGUGGAGGUCAGUUUGUCCAGCCUCUGUCUCAACACCAGUGUUGUGGAGGAUAUUACGUACUUGUCCCACCAGUUAUUUACUGCAUUGAGCAAGUUAGGCUGCAUAAUAUAUACGUAA
rnacentral:lncRNA from 12 species